AAUUGGGCUAGCCCCCAAAAUUUUGGGACAUAUAAAAAAAGACAACUCUGUUCUGCAGAGUAGCUGUUGACAUAGUUACGCAGGCACUUUGUUGACUCUAGAGAACCUCGGGCCAAUCACACAUCCCUGUGGCAGCGACUUUGCAUGCGGAUGUCGUUCAUAUCAACUUUCGAUGCCAGUUUCUGCGCCUACCAUGGUGACCACGGGUAACAGGGAAUCAGGAUUCCAUUACGUACAGGGACCCUGAGAAACAGCUACCACAUGCAAGGAAGGCAGCAGGCGUGCAAAUGACCCACUCCCGAUGUAGGAAGGUA